rnacentral:misc_RNA from 1 species
GCAUAAUGACAUAUUUAAUUAAAUAAAGAGUAAGAAUGGAGACUAAGUGUACAUAUAUGUGUGAGUAAGAGAGUAAGAAAAUGCUUUGACAAGUCUUUUCUUAGUUCGAUCUUCGUAGUUUUUCUCUGAUUAAAACGAUAUUUGUACUUUCAAAAUAAAUUUUACUUUAAAGGAAUAAAUGAUAUAAAUCAAUUUUAAAACAAUAAAAAAGAGAAAAGGAAUUCAUGUACAGAAAACUGAGGAGCGUUCUACCCGAAAAAAUGGUCGCAAUGCCAUGGAGAAAUUUCCAUUGAAAGGUACAACUUUAUCGAACAAUACAAUUCCACAAAAUCAUCAACAUACAUUAACUACAUACCAGUCAGUUGAUACCAAGAUAGAAAAUUCAGAUGAUGUAUACUUCGUAGAGGAUGCACGAUCUCAAAAUCGAACUACUGCAGGUGAUACUAAUCUAAGUAGUGACGACGACAUGCUGGAGGUUAAUAAUGUAAAUUCUCAUCACGGGCAGAAUGCUGUUCUUUCAGAACAUAUUCGUAUAGAUGAUGCUUCCUCUCAUAUUUCAGUUGAUUCUGAUGACAUUCCUGGUAUUGGACAAUAUGAUGAUUUCCAUACAAUUGAUUGGCAGCGAGAUAUCGCCCGAGAUAGAAUGCGUCAUCGAUAUAUUGUGAAGAAAAAACAUGAUUCCAUUUGGGGUUUAAUUAAAGGAGCCCAUGAUGCUUGGUCUGGAUGGCUUUGUGUUUUAUUAGUUGGUCUCUUUACAGGAGUUGCAGCAGGUAUCAUAGAUAUAGGAGCUUCCUGGAUGACUGAUUUAAAAUUUGGCAUAUGUCCACAAGCAUUUUGGUUAAACAAAGAACAAUGUUGUUGGAGUUAUAAUGAAACAACUUUUGAUGGUGGUAACUGUUCUCAGUGGUGGACAUGGCCAGAAGUAUUUAGUCAAUCAAAAGAUGGUGCAGGACCUUACAUGAUCUCGUAUAUGUUCUAUAUUGCUUGGGCUCUUUUAUUUGCUUCACUUUCUGCCUCAUUAGUAAGAAUGUUUGCACCAUAUGCUUGUGGUUCAGGAAUACCUGAGAUAAAAACCAUUCUAAGUGGAUUUAUUAUUCGUGGAUAUUUGGGAAAAUGGACGUUAAUUAUUAAAUCAGUAGGUUUGAUACUAUCAGUCUCAGCAGGUUUAAAUUUAGGCAAAGAAGGACCAAUGGUUCAUAUAGCUUGUUGCAUAGGAAAUAUAUUUUCUUAUCUUUUUCCCAAAUAUGGUAGAAAUGAAGCUAAGAAAAGAGAAAUUUUAUCAGCAGCAGCUGCUGCAGGAGUUUCAGUUGCUUUUGGUGCUCCAAUUGGGGGUGUUCUUUUUAGUCUUGAAGAGGUGAGCUAUUAUUUUCCCUUAAAAACUUUAUGGAGAUCAUUUUUUUGUGCCUUGAUAGCCGCUUUUAUUUUACGAUCCAUAAAUCCAUUUGGUAAUGAGCAUUCAGUACUUUUCUAUGUUGAAUAUAAUAAACCAUGGAUAUUUUUUGAACUAAUACCUUUUGUCAUGCUCGGAAUAAUUGGUGGCGUGAUUGCUACUUUAUUUAUUAAAGCAAAUUUAUUUUGGUGUCGAUACCGUAAAACUUCAAAAUUGGGUCAAUAUCCAGUUACUGAAGUUUUAAUAGUGACAGUUGCAACUGCAGUUAUUGGGUAUCCAAAUCCAUAUACUCGAAUGAGUACAAGUCAACUCAUUUAUUUAUUAUUUAGACAAUGUGGAGUAUCAAAUGCAGAUAUUUUGUGUGAUUAUAAUAGAAAUUUUACUGCUGUAAAAUCAGCGAUUGAAGUUGCUGCAGCCGGUCCUGGAGUUUAUAAGGCUAUAUGGCUUCUCGUUUUAGCAUUAAUUCUAAAACUUGUUAUGACAAUAUUUACGUUCGGCAUGAAAGUACCUUGUGGAUUAUUUAUUCCAUCACUUUGUUUGGGAGCGAUAAUGGGACGUAUUGUUGGGAUUGGAAUGGAACAACUUGCGUACAAUUAUCCACAUAUUUGGAUAUUUAGUGAAGCAUGUUCAACUGGUGUUGAUUGUAUAACACCUGGAUUAUAUGCGAUGGUUGGUGCCGCAGCGGUUCUUGGCGGUGUUACCAGAAUGACUGUUUCUCUUGUUGUAAUAAUGUUUGAAUUAACUGGAGGCGUACGAUAUAUUGUACCGUUAAUGGCAGCUGCCAUGGCAAGUAAAUGGGUUGGUGAUGCUCUUGGAAAACAAGGAAUUUAUGAUGCUCAUAUUGGUUUGAAUGGAUAUCCAUUUCUUGAUAGUAAAGAUGAAUUUCAACAUACUACUUUAGCGGCUGAUGUCAUGCAACCAAACGCAAUGAAGCUCUGCAUGUGCUUACACAAGAUUCAAUGACAGUUGAAGAUGUUGAAAAUUUAUUAAAAGAAACGGAACAUAAUGGUUUCCCAGUGAUAGUUUCAAAGGAAUCGCAAUAUCUUGUUGGUUUUGUAUUACGAAGAGAUUUGAAUCUUGCAAUAGCAAAUGCUAAACGUAUGACAGAGGAAAUUACUGGACAAUCACUGGUUUUAUUUACAAAUGGAAACAAUAUUCAAAAUCAUUCUCCUCCACCACUUAAAUUAAAAAAAAUUCUUGAUAUGGCUCCAAUAACAAUUACUGACCAAACACCUAUGGAAACUGUUGUUGAUAUGUUCAGAAAAUUGGGAUUAAGACAAACACUUGUUACACAUAAUGGUCGAUUACUUGGAGUUAUUACAAAGAAGGAUGUAUUGAGACACGUGAAACAACUUGACAACGAAGAUCCUAAUUCUGUAUUGUUUAAUUAAAAAUUUAUAUAAAAAAAUAUACGUAUGACAGAUACAUUGUUUUAUAAUGCAUGGUAUUAACCAAAAAAAUUGGAUACACUAUGCCAAUAGUAUGGUUUUGAUAUUUUCAUAUAACUGUUAAUUAUUUGUUUUAAUUAUUAGUAAUUAAAAAUGAAGAAAUAAAUAGGUAAAACAAUUUUAA